AGAGCGAACGCUGGCGGCAGGCCUAAUACAUGCAAGUCGAACGGAUCCUUCGGGAUUAGUGGCGGACGGGUGAGUAACACGUGGGAACGUGCCCUUUGGUUCGGAACAACUCAGGGAAACUUGAGCUAAUACCGGAUGUGCCCUUCGGGGGAAAGAUUUAUCGCCAUUGGAGCGGCCCGCGUCUGAUUAGCUAGUUGGUGGGGUAAAGGCCUACCAAGGCUACGAUCAGUAGCUGGUCUGAGAGGAUGAUCAGCCACACUGGGACUGAGACACGGCCCAGACUCCUACGGGAGGCAGCAGUAGGGAAUCUUGCGCAAUGGGCGAAAGCCUGACGCAGCCAUGCCGCGUGAAUGAUGAAGGUCUUAGGAUUUAGUAAAAUUUCUUUCAGUGGGGACGAUAAUGACCGGUACCCACAGAAGAACGCCCCGGACUAACUUCGCGCCAGCAGCCGC
rnacentral:rRNA from 1 species